rnacentral:rRNA from 1 species
UACGGAGGGGGCAAGCGUUGUUCGGAAUUACUGGGCGUAAAGCGUGCGUAGGUGGUGAGUUAAGUCUGUCGUGAAAGCCCCGGGCUCAACCUGGGAAUGGCGAUGGAUACUGGCUCGCUAGAGUGCGGUAGAGGAGAGUGGAAUUCCCGGUGUAGCAGUGAAAUGCGUAGAGAUCGGGAGGAACACCGGUGGCGAAGGCGGGUCUCUGGGCAAUUCCUGACGCUGAGGCGCGAAAGCGUGGGGAGCAAACGGG